rnacentral:rRNA from 1 species
CCUACGGGAGGCAGCAGUGAGGAAUAUUGGUCAAUGGACGCAAGUCUGAACCAGCCAUGCCGCGUGCAGGAAGACGGCUCUAUGAGUUGUAAACUGCUUUUGUACGAGGGUAAACGCAGAUACGCGUAUCUGUCUGAAAGUAUCGGACGAAUAAGGAUCGGCUAACUCCGUGCCAGCAGCCGCGGUAAUACGGAGGAUUCAAUCGUUAUCCGGAUUGAUUGGGUUUAAGGGGUGCGUAGGCGGUCGGAUAAGUUAGAUGUGAAAUCCCGAGGCUCAACUUCGGAAUUGCCUCUGAUACUGUUCGGCUAGCGAGUAGUUGCGGUAGGCGGAAUGUAUGGUGUAGCGGUGAAAUGCUUAGAGAUCAUACAGAACACCGAUUGCGAAGGCAGCUUACCAAGCUACUUCUGACGUUGAGGCACGAAAGCGUGGGGAGCAAACAGGAUUAGAUACCCGGGUAGUC